CAAUCUCAGUUCAGACCGCAGGCUGCAACUCGCCUGCACGAAGUCGGAAUUGCUAGUAAUCGUAGGUCAGCAUACUACGGUGAAUACGUUCCCGGGCCUUGUACACACCGCCCGUCAAACCAUGAGAGUUGGCAACACCCGAAGUCGGUAGUCUAACCGCAAGGAGGACGCCGCCGAAGGUGGGGUUGAUGAUUAGGGUUAAGUCGUAACAAGGUAAC
rnacentral:rRNA from 1 species